GCAUAUCAAUAAGCGGAGGAAAAGAAACCAACAGGGAUUGCCCCAGUAACGGCGAAGUGAAGCGGCAACAGCUCAAAUUUGAAAUCUGGCCUCGUGCCCGAGUUGUAAUUUGUAGAGGAUGCUUUUGGCGACGCGCCUUCCGAGUUCCCUGGAACGGGACGCCAUAGAGGGUGAGAGCCCCGUCCGGUCGUGCGCCUAGCCUCUGUAAAGCUCCUUCGACGAGUCGAGUAGUUUGGGAAUGCUGCUCUAAAUGGGAGGUAUACGUCUUCUAAAGCUAAAUACCGGCCAGAGACCGAUAGCGCACAAGUAGAGUGAUCGAAAGAUGAAAAGCACUUUGAAAAGAGGGUUAAAUAGUACGUGAAAUUGCUGAAAGGGAAGCGCUUAUGACCAGACUUGGGCGCGGCGGAUCAUCCGGCGUUCUCGCCGGUGCACUCCACCGCCCCAGGCCAGCAUCAGUUCGCGCCGGGGGACAAAGGCUUCGGGAAUGUGGCUCUCUCGGGAGUGUUAUAGCCCGCUGCGUAAUACCCUGGCGCGGACUGAGGUCCGCGCUCUGCAAGGAUGCUGGCGUAAUGGUCAUCAGUGACCCGUCUUGAAACACGGACCAAGGAGUCGUCUUCGUAUGCGAGUGUUCGGGUGUCAAACCCCUACGCGGAAUGAAAGUGAACGUAGGAGAGAGCUUCGGCGCAUCUCCGACCGAUCCUGAUGUUCUCGGAUGGAUUUGAGUAAGAGCAUACGGGGCCGGACCCGAAAGAAGGUGAACUAUGCCUGUGUAGGGUGAAGCCAGAGGAAACUCUGGUGGAGGCUCGCAGCGGUUCUGACGUGCAAAUCGAUCGUCAAACAUGGGCAUGGGGGCGAAAGACUAAUCGAAUCUUCUAGUAGCUGGUUUCGCGAG
rnacentral:rRNA from 1 species